rnacentral:tRNA from 1 species
GCCCGGGUGGUGGAAUUGGCAGACACGCUAGACUAAGGAUCUAGUCCUGGAAACGGGGUGCGAGUUCAAGUCUCGCCUCGGGCACCA